rnacentral:rRNA from 1 species
GACGAACGCUGGCGGCGUGCUUAACACAUGCAAGUCGAACGGAAAGUCCCUGCUUUUGUGGGGUGCUCGAGUGGCGAACGGGUGAGUAACACGUGAGUAACCUGCCCUUGACUUUGUGAUAACUUCAGGAAACUGGGGCUAAUACCGGAUAUGAGCUCCUGCUGCAUGGUGGGGUUUGGAAAGUUUCGGCGGUUGGGGAUGGACUCGCGGCUUAUCAGCUUGUUGGUGGGGUAGUGGCUUACCAAGGCUUUGACGGGUAGCCGGCCUGAGAGGGUGACCGGCCACAUUGGGACUGAGAUACGGCCCAGACUCCUACGGGAGGCAGCAGUGGGGAAUAUUGCACAAUGGGCGGAAGCCUGAUGCAGCAACGCCGCGUGCGGGAUGACGGCCUUCGGGUUGUAAACCGCUUUCGCCUGUGACGAAGCGUGAGUGACGGUAAUGGGUAAAGAAGCACCGGCUAACUACGUG